AGUGAACGCUGGCGGUAGGCCUAACACAUGCAAGUCGAACGGCAGCACAGUAAGAGCUUGCUCUUACGGGCGGCGAGUGGCGGACGGGUGAGGAAUACAUCGGAAUCUACUUUUUCGUGGGGGAUAACGUAGGGAAACUUACGCUAAUACCGCAUACGACCUACGGGUGAAAGCAGGGGAUCUUCGGACCUUGCGCGAUUGAAUGAGCGGAUGUCGGAUUAGCUAGUUGGCGGGGUAAAGGCCCACCAAGGCGACGAUCCGUAGCUGGUCUGAGAGGAUGAUCAGCCACCCUGGACAUGAGCCACGCUCCAGCCCCCUACGGGAGGCAGCAGUGGGGAAUCUUGGACAAUGGGCGAAAGCCUGAUCCAGCCAUACCGCGUGGGUGAAGAGGGCCUUCGGGUUGUAAAGCCCUUUUGUUGGGAAGAAAAGCAGCAGGUUAAUACCCCGCUGUUCUGACGGUACCCAAAGAAUAAGCACCGGCUAACUUCGUG
rnacentral:rRNA from 1 species